UACGAAGGGGGCUAGCGUUGUUCGGAAUUACUGGGCGUAAAGCGCGCGCAGGCGGUCUUUCAAGUCAGUGGUGAAAGCCUGGAGCUCAACUCCAGAACUGCCAUUGAAACUGCAAGACUUGAGUACGAGAGAGGUGAGUGGAAUUCCCAGUGUAGAGGUGAAAUUCGUAGAUAUUCGGAAGAACACCAGUGGCGAAGGCGGCUCACUGGACCGUUGUUGACGCUGAGGUGCGAAAGCGUGGGGAGCAAACAGG
rnacentral:rRNA from 1 species